GGCUUAGUGGUUUGAAUGUUGGACUAUGACUCUGGAGACCUGGGUUUGAAUCCCAGCUCGGCCA
rnacentral:tRNA from 1 species